GACGAACGCUGGCGGCGUGCUUAACACAUGCAAGUCGAACGGUGAAGCGCCUUCCUUUUUGGUGGGUGUGGAUGAGUGGCGAACGGGUGAGUAACACGUGAGUAACCUGCCCCCUUCUCCUGGAUAACCGCAUGAAAGUGUGGCUAAUACGGGAUAUUCUGGGUCUGUCGCAUGAUGGGUCUGGGAAAGAUAUUGUUUCGGUGGGGGAUGGGCUCGCGGCCUAUCAGCUUGUUGGUGGGGUGAUGGCCUACCAAGGCGGUGACGGGUAGCCGGCCUGAGAGGGUGGACGGUCACACUGGGGCUGAGACACGGCCCGGACUCCUACGGGAGGCAGCAGUGGGGAAUAUUGCACAGUGGGCGCAAGCCUGAUGCAGCGACGCCGCGUGAGGGAUGGAGGCCUUCGGGUUGUGAACCUCUUUCGCCAGUGAAGCAGGCCUGCCUCGUUUGUGGGUGGGUUGACGGUAGCUGGAUAAGAAGCGCCGGCUAACUACGUG
rnacentral:rRNA from 1 species